GCCUGUAGUCCCAGCUACUUAGGAGGCUGAGGUGUGUCAGUUGCUUGAACUCAGGGGUUCCGGGUUGUAGUGCACUGUGCAGCUCGGAUGUCUGCAUUAAGUUCGACAUCAAUAUGGUGACCUUCUGGAAGCAGGGGACUACCAGGUUACCUAAGGAGAAGUGAAUUAGCCCAGGUCAGAAAUGGAGUAGGUAAAUACUCCCGGACUGAUUAGUAGUGGGAUAUCGCCUGUGUUUAGCCACUGCACCCCAGCCUGUGAAAUGUAGCAAGACCCUGUCUCU
rnacentral:SRP_RNA from 1 species